GACGAACGCUGGCGGCGUGCUUAACACAUGCAAGUCGAACGGAAAGGCCCUGCUUUUGUGGGGUGCUCGAGUGGCGAACGGGUGAGUAACACGUGAGUAACCUGCCCUUGACUUUGGGAUAACUUCAGGAAACUGGGGCUAAUACCGGAUAGGAGCGCCUGCUGCAUGGGGGGGGUUGGAAAGUUUCGGCGGUUGGGGAUGGACUCGCGGCUUAUCAGCUUGUUGGUGGGGUAGUGGCUUACCAAGGCUUUGACGGGUAGCCGGCCUGAGAGGGUGACCGGCCACAUUGGGCCUGAGAUACGGCCCAGACUCCUACGGGAGGCAGCAGUGGGGAUUAUUGCACAAUGGGCGGAAGCCUGAUGCAGCAACGCCGCGUGCGGGAUGACGGCCUUCGGGUUGUAAACCGCUUUCGCCUGUGACGAAGCGUGAGUGACGGUAAUGGGUAAAGAAGCACCGGCUAACUACGUG
rnacentral:rRNA from 1 species